GAGUGCUUGCACUCACUUGAAAAGAGGAGUGGCGGACGGGUGAGUAACACGUGGGUAACCUACCCAUCAGAGGGGGAUAACACUUGGAAACAGGUGCUAAUACCGCAUAAUAGUCGACACCGCAUGGUGUUGAUUUGAAAGACGCUUUCGGGUGUCACUGAUGGAUGGACCCGCGGUGCAUUAGCUAGUUGGUGAGGUAACGGCUCACCAAGGCCAUGAUGCAUAGCCGACCUGAGAGGGUGAUCGGCCACACUGGGACUGAGACACGGCCCAGACUCCUACGGGAGGCAGCAGUAGGGAAUCUUCGGCAAUGGACGAAAGUCUGACCGAGCAACGCCGCGUGAGUGAAGAAGGUUUUCGGAUCGUAAAACUCUGUUGUUAGAGAAGAACAAGUAGGAGAGUAACUGCUCUUACCUUGACGGUAUCUAACCAGAAAGCCACGGCUAACUACGUGCCAGCAGCCGCGGUAAUACGUAGGUGGCAAGCGUUGUCCGGAUUUAUUGGGCGUAAAGCGAGCGCAGGCGGUUUCUUAAGUCUGAUGUGAAAGCCCCCGGCUCAACCGGGGAGGGUCAUUGGAAACUGGGAGACUUGAGUGCAGAAGAGGAGAGUGGAAUUCCAUGUGUAGCGGUGAAAUGCGUAGAUAUAUGGAGGAACACCAGUGGCGAAGGCGACUCUCUGGUCUGUAACUGACGCUGAGGCUCGAAAGCGU
rnacentral:rRNA from 1 species